GAGGUAAUAGCUCAGUGGUAGAGCAUGUGCAUAGCGUGCAUGAGGUCCUGAGUUGAAUCCCAGUACCUCC
rfam:Camelus ferus unplaced genomic scaffold scaffold445, whole genome shotgun sequence.